GUGGGGAAUAUUGGGCAAUGGGCGAAAGCCUGACCCAGCAACGCCGCGUGAAGGAAGAAGGUCUUCGGAUUGUAAACUUCUGUCAUUGGGGACGAAGGAAGUGACGGUACCCGAUGAGGAAGCCCCGGCUAACUACGUGCCAGCAGCCGCGGUAAUACGUAGGGGGCGAGCGUUGUCCGGAAUUACUGGGCGUAAAGGGUGCGUAGGCGGCGAUGCAAGUCCAUUGUGAAAAGCCCGGGCUUAACCUGGGAGGUGCAGUGGAAACUGUAUGGCUUGAGUGCAGGAGAGGAAAGUGGAAUUCCUAGUGUAGCGGUGAAAUGCGUAGAUAUUAGGAGGAACACCAGUGGCGAAGGCGGCUUUCUGGACUGUAACUGACGCUGAGGCACGAAAGCGUGGGGAGCAAACAGGAUUAGAAACCCUAGUAGUCC
rnacentral:rRNA from 1 species